UACGUAGGGUGCAAGCGUUAAUCGGAAUUACUGGGCGUAAAGCGUGCGCAGGCGGCUCUGCAAGACAGAUGUGAAAUCCCCGGGCUCAACCUGGGAACUGCAUUUGUGACUGCAUUGCUAGAGUACGGUAGAGGGGGAUGGAAUUCCGCGUGUAGCAGUGAAAUGCGUAGAUAUGCGGAGGAACACCGAUGGCGAAGGCAGUCCCCUGGACCUGUACUGACGCUCAUGCACGAAAGCGUGGGGAGCAAACAGG
rnacentral:rRNA from 1 species